rnacentral:rRNA from 1 species
UACGUAGGUGGCAAGCGUUGUCCGGAUUUACUGGGCGUAAAGGAUGCGUAGGCGGAUAUUUAAGUGAGAUGUGAAAUUCCCGAGCUUAACUUGGGAGCUGCAUUUCAAACUGGAUAUCUAGAGUGUGGGAGAGGAGAAUGGAAUUCCUAGUGUAGCGGUGAAAUGCGUUGAGAUUAGGAAGAACACCAGUGGCGAAGGCGAUUCUCUGGACCAUAACUGACGCUGAGGCAUGAAAGCGUGGGUAGCAAACA